GAUGAACGCUGGCGGCGUGCUUAACACAUGCAAGUCGAACGAAGCUGUUAAAAGGAAGUCUUCGGAUGGAAUUUUGGUAGACUUAGUGGCGGACGGGUGAGUAACGCGUGGAUAACCUGCCUUAUACAGGGGGAUAACGGAGAGAAAUUUCCGCUAAGACCGCAUAAGACCACAGCACCGCAUGGUGCAGGGGUAAAAUAUUUAUAGGUAUAAGAUGGAUCCGCGUCCGAUUAGCUGGUUGGUGAGGUAGAGGCUCACCAAGGCGACGAUCGGUAGCCGGCCUGAGAGGGUGAACGGCCACAUUGGGACUGAGACACGGCCCAAACUCCUACGGGAGGCAGCAGUGGGGAAUAUUGGACAAUGGGGGAAACCCUGAUCCAGCGACGCCGCGUGAGUGAAGAAGUAUUUCGGUAUGUAAAGCUCUAUCAGCAGGGAAGAAAAUGACGGUACCUGACUAAGAAGCC
rnacentral:rRNA from 1 species